GAAACAACAGAAAAAUAAUUCAUAUACAAACAUAAUACAAUGCUCAUAUAUAUAGAGUAAGAUUACAACCGACUUUGCACACACUAAAGCUGUGGUAACAAACUUGCUAAUUACACCUUUUGGCGGAAGAGUUGGUUUCAGCCAUAACUAACUUGUUGACUGCUGACUAGCAUACCAAGAGCCUCCUGCUAAUGUGUCAUUGGAAUCUUGAUCAGCUGCGGUUGAGCUAACCCUACCUUCUGAUGUAGCUGCUACCUCAACAUUGAUAAACAGAAUAAAUCAAAGUUCUAUUCCACAUAUCUGCAUCCGAGAAGCUCAAGAAAACAUAGCUGCAGAAAGCGGGGCUUUCAGUAAGUGAAGAAGAGGGAGAGGCCAUUCGAGUGCUCAUGGAAGCUAUGGCAGACUGCAGGUAGACAAGCAGAGAGCACUACAAUUCAUCAUAGUAUUCUAUCCGAGAGAAUCUAA
rnacentral:lncRNA from 1 species